ACUGGGUGCAGUGGUGUACACCUGUAAUCCCAGUGGCUCAGGAGGCUGAGGCAGGAGAUCGUGAGUUCAAAGCCAGGUUCAGCAAAAGCAAAGUGCUAAGCAACUCAAUGAGACCCUGUCUCUA
rnacentral:sRNA from 1 species